rnacentral:rRNA from 1 species
UAGGGAAUCUUCCGCAAUGGGCGAAAGCUUGACGGAGCAACGCCGCGUGAGUGAUGAAGGUCUUCGGAUCGUAAAACUCUGUUAUUAGGGAAGAACAAAUGUGUAAGUAACUAUGCACGUCUUGACGGUACCUAAUCAGAAAGCCACGGCUAACUACGUGCCAGCAGCCGCGGUAAUACGUAGGUGGCAAGCGUUAUCCGGAAUUAUUGGGCGUAAAGCGCGCGUAGGCGGUUUUUUAAGUCUGAUGUGAAAGCCCACGGCUCAACCGUGGAGGGUCAUUGGAAACUGGAAAACUUGAGUGCAGAAGAGGAAAGUGGAAUUCCAUGUGUAGCGGUGAAAUGCGCAGAUAUAUGGAGGAACACCGGUGGCGAAAGCGGCUCUCUGGUCUGUAACUGACGCUGAGGCUCGAAAGCGUGGGGAGCGAACAGG